rnacentral:lncRNA from 1 species
UCCACCAAUUUCUCCUUCUCUUCUUUCCCCAAUUCCUCCAAUAUCAUUUUCGUCAACAGUGCCACAAGAGGCACAGUUUUCGAUCAUCCUUCUCUCCGGCUAACCGACAGCCAGAUUGGCGGCAGUGUCUUCAACAGCACCGGAAGAGCGUACUUCUCGGAGCCGAUUCAACUAUGGGAUCCAGCUACUAACGUAUCUUCUGAUUUCACUACUUAUUUUGAGUUUCAGAUCUCGUUUCCUAACGGGAUCUCGAACGUCUCUGGCGGUGGAAUUGCCUUCUUCAUAGCUUCCGAGGAUUCCGCAUCGCCUCCUUUGAAUUCCAGCGGCGGAUGGCUAGGGCUGUUCAAUCAGUCCAACGACGGAAAUCCGUCGAAUCAGAUCGUCGCCGUUGAGUUUGAUAUCUUUAAAGAUCCAUGGGAUCCUAGCGGUAAUCAUGUUGGCGUGGACGUGAAUUCCAUCGUCUCCAUCGCUAGUCGUACUUGGAGUAAUACAAUGGUUUCUGGAGAUAUUUUGGGUGCUCGAAUCACUUACAAUGGAACAUUGGGGAGAUUGGAUGUUACGCUGAAAGAUCCUCAGGUUCCAAAUGAGUCGAUUACGUUGAAUCUUACUGAUGUUCCCAUUGAUGUGAAGAGAAUUCUUCCGGCUAGAGUGAUCGUUGGCUUUUCUUCAUCAACGGGUCAGUCAAUCCCAAUUCAAGCAAUUAGAAGUUGGAAUUUCACAUCGAGUUUGGAUUUGAUUGAUGUAGCUGGAAUUGUUGAGGAAAAAUCCAAAUUGUGGAUUGUGGGUCUGGUUAUUGGAUUGGUUGGCUUGGUUUUUCUGUCUGGAUUCUUAUUUGUUGUUUGGUGGAGAAGAACAAAGAGGAAACAGAGAGAAAAAGAAGAGAGAGAUGGUGAUGAUGAUGAUGAUGAUGAUUUUGGUGAUGAAGAAAUUAGUAUGGUGGAGAAUGUUGUUGAUGAAGAGUUCAUUAGAGGAACAGGACCAAAGAGAUUUGCUUAUAAGGAACUUGUUAAAGCAACAAACAAUUUUUCUCAAGAAGGAAAACUUGGGCAAGGAGGUUUUGGUGGUGUUUACAAAGGUUUUGUGACAGAACUAAACAUGGAAAUAGCAGCAAAGAAGAUAUCAAGCACUUCCAAGCAAGGAAAAAAGGAGUACAUCUCUGAAGUCAACAUUAUAAGCCGUUUGCGACAUCGAAAUCUUGUUCAACUCGUUGGAUACAGUCACGAACGCGGCCAUUUCGUACUCGUUUAUGAGUACAUGCCGAACGGAAGCUUAGAUUCCCAUUUGUUCGGGAAAAAAUCACGCCUCUCCUGGCCUUUAAGAUACAAAAUAGCCCACGGCAUAGCCUCUGCCUUGCUCUACCUCCACGAGGAAUGGGAACAAUGCGUUGUCCACAGAGACAUCAAGUCAAGCAAUGUGAUGUUAGACUCAAACUUCAACGCUAAAGUAGGUGAUUUUGGUUUAGCCAGACUUGUUGAUCAUGGUCUCCGCUCGCCAACGACAGUCGUAGCAGGCACGAUGGGCUACCUAGCUCCAGAGUCCCUUCUCACAAGCAAAGCGAGUAAGGAAUCAGACGUGUUUAGUUUCGGGGUGGUGGCAUUGGAGAUAGCCUGUGGGAGAAAAGCAGUGGAACACAAUAAAGAAGAAGAAGAAAAGAUUAGUUUGGUGAAUUGGGUUUGGGGAUUGUAUGGACAAGGAAGACUUCUUGAAGCAGUUGAUAAGGCAUUGAAUGGAGAGUUCAAUCAAGAAGAAAUGGUGCGUUUAAUGACUGUGGGGCUAUGGUGUGCACACCCAAAUCAUAACCUAAGAGCUUCCAUAAGGCAAGCAAUUCAAGUGCUGAACUUUGAAGCCCCUUUGCCUAAACUCCCAACACAAAUGCCUGUGCCUAUGUUCUAUGCUCCCACAGCUCCCAAUGAAAACCCUUUUUCAUAUAUUUACUCAACCAACACAAACUCUCAAGUAUCAUUGCAAUCUGAUACAUCUCAGCCUGUUUCCUCCAAAUCAUCCUUGUGAUUUGUGCUUCCUCCUUUCUAUGGGGCUCAAGGUAAUUUCUCUAUUGCUCCUUUUGGUUUGUCUUAAAUUUAAAAUUGUGUGAAGAUGGCAUAGCUAGAUUGGUUAGCUUUUACUUUAAUUAAUUCCUUUUCUGUGAAAAAAAAAUUCUUCCAUCCAAUUGGAAAUUUGUGUAAGUUGGAAUGUAAAUGCAUUUGAUUUUGUAUAUAAAGUAGGGAAGUUAUAGCUAUUGGUGAGAAUUUUCCAACGAUUUAUUUGUACGGGAUAACUUUCUAGUUUCUAGAUGUUAUACUUAAACUAGUUGAGAAACAAAUGUAAUUUAGAUUAAGUCUUUUCUAAAUAGUAAUCUUUUUAACAUAUAAUGAAUAGUUUUAUACAUGUUAUUAUAUAUCUACUUCAAGUCACAAGAAUUAAUGCAAUAAUUGCUACUUUCAUGUAAAUGCAAGGUCUUUUGUUUUGUUUCUUUUACACAUAAAUGCAUGUUGCAUAAACAUUGGAAGGAUGGAUGCACUUAUUUCAUGAGUGUGUCGUGUAAGUUGUAAUCACUCAAUCUUGAACAGAUACAUCCAAAUAACAUCUAUUAUAUCUCAUCUCGAAGAGUGGUAUCUUGUCAUUAUCAAUUACAUUUAUUCAAUUAAGACUUAAUUUUUUAAAAAUAUAUACAUUUAUGUUGUAAACUAAAAAUCGAAAAGGUCGCAUCCACCACCUGACAAAGAAAUCAAUGGAGCCAAUGAUCUAUUAUUUGGCCUAAUUCAUUUUUCUUUAUCACUUCUUACUAUUAAGUUUUCUAAAUAUAAUAAUGUAUGUUAACAUAAAAAUAAAUAUUUUAGGAAAGUUUCUGGUAGUCAUAAAGUUUUCAAAUGAUUUGAUUUUCAGCAUUACUUAAGUAAAUUGUUUCAAAAAAAUCAAAUUUCUUCCUCUAAUAAAUUGGUGAAAGCAAGAAUCAACAAAUGACUUGUUCAAAAAAGAAAAGAUGGUAUAUUUGAUACAUACAAGUGCAUGAAUACGACAAUUUGUAUAAUAUAUUGUCUUUGAGUACACUAGAAAAUGUGUCGGGUUAAUUUUCAUUUUCAAAUGUAUGUUUGUAAACACAACAAUACUUUGGGAAUGAGUGGAUUUCAUAAUACAAUCAUUUUUACUUAUCACUUUCGUCACUCAGACAUAAAUUAAAAUAAAUAAAUAAAUAAAAUAUUUUAGUAAAGAAACCAGAAGAAUUUGUUACCUGACAAAUUAUGAUUAUACAAUUUGGUGAGAUGUAUAUGCACAGAAAUGGUGGAGUAUUUUUGAAAAGAAUAUUUAUGCAUGUUUUUACAUAUUUUAACAAUAUUACCAAUCCUAUUAGAUAUAUACUUGAGAUCUUCUUGAAAGAAAAAAAAAACAUUAAUUUGAAAUAUUAUGCAUUGAAUGAAUAUAUAUCAACAAAAUUAAUAAAUAACAAAAUAAUUUUAAUAAGAAAUUUUUUAAAAAAUUUAAAUUGGUUAAAAAUAAGAAAGAUUUAGACAAAAAGAAAAAAAAGAAAGAAAAAUCACUAGUAAUUUUCACAAAUGUCCUAAAUUUGAAAUUAUUUUUUUAAAAUAGAAUUUCGUAUAAAUUUUGAACAAUAAAAACCUUCUAAUAAUUAUAAAUUAUAUACUAUAUUCGUAAUAAAUUUAAAAUUAUUUUCUUAUUAAAGAUAAUAUUAAUUAAUUUCUUAUAUAAAUGUGUUAUUAUUAUGAAAAUUAUUUGAGUAUAUUUUUUUUAAUGAAGUAUUAAUACAAAAUAUAAUCCAAUAUGUAAUAUUAUUGAAAUUAAUUUAUCGUAACCGUGUAAAUUAUUUUAUCUUCAUCACCAAACCCUAUUCAAUUUUCAAUUAUCGUUGUCGGCCUUUUAUUUCUAUAACCUCAACUUUUCAAUUUUUCAUUGAGUUCAUUGUCAACAACCGUUCAUCUUCGUUACGUUAACCUUUAAUCAAUAAACAAACAUCUAAUUUUCUUUGCUUUUUUCUUUAUCCUUCAACAUCCUUCACAUUAACCUUACUAUUUUUCGUAGAUUUCGUUUCCUUUCGGUUAGUAUUUGGUCGGACUUUUCUUUAUUCAUUUUGUUCUUAGUAGACUUACAAUUAGUAUGAAUUUUCAAUUAUUUCCAUUAUUCUCCGUUUCAUAUAUUUCAAGAACAUAUAUAUAAAAUACACAUAUUUUACAAUAUGUUUUUUUGUCACUUCUCUAUUCUAAAUUUUCAUUAUCAUAUCGUAUACUACAUAAUUACAACAAUAAUUAACUAUAUACCCGUAAGAUAUUUGACAUGAUUUAUUAAAUAUAUACCACGUAUUAUUUACAAUUAUACUAAUUUUUUAAUAUUCCCGCAAUACAGAAUAGGUUAUAUAUUUAAUUUAUUAUAUAUAUACCACAUCUAACUUUCUAUUAUAAUAGCUUUUUAAUAUUUUCGUUAUUCAUAUAUACAAUGGUAUGCCACUAAAUAAUAAAUUUAUAUUUUGUGAUUUAUCACGUAUAUACUAAUGCAUAUAUUCAAGAAUACAUACAUAUAUUUUUUUUCAUGUUUUGUGAUUUUUUCUUAUUGCGUAUAUAUACCAAUAUAUACACAGAUUAUAUAUCCAUUCAGUUUUUUAUUUAUUAUUUUUUACAUAUAUACUAUUUAAUAAUUCAUUCAUGUUUUGUGAUUUGUUAUAUAUAUAUACUACUAUAUAUAUUCAAUAAUACAUCUAUAGAUUUUUUUUUUCAUGUUUUGUGAUUUUUUCUUAUUGCAUUUAUAUACCACUGUAUACACAUAUUAUAUAUUCGAUCAGUAUUUCUUAAAAAUUCUUACAUCUAUACUACUGCAUAAUACAUAUGUAUUACUUCAUAUAUUCAAUAAUACAUAAGUGAUAUUAUCUUCAAUAUACUCAAUAUAUAUACCUCUAAUGUAUUUCGAAUACGAAAUAUAAAUUCUUAUUAACCUUAAAUUUUUGUCAAUUUUUUUUCUUGAAAUAUCACUGUAUUAGUUAGCUGCCGAUGUUCUUCUUCUUCUUCACCGCUUAUAUUUCCCCCAAUCAUCUAUUAUUCGGCGUCUUUUGUGAAGAAUUAAUAUUCAAUGUAUUCGAAUAAUGAAACUUUUACUUUAUUUUUUUUAGUUUUCUAAACCGUAACUCACGUCUCUGAUUUCUCUCAUUGUCGGUCCACCUUCUAUAAACAAAUUGAUAUAAUAACUUUUCGUUAAUAAAAUAUACACCGCAUUAUUCAAUAUAUACUAUAAUUGGAUGGAAUAUAUGAAAAACGAACAAAAGAAUGGACAAAGAGAGAAAUUGAAAAGUGAGAGAGAGAUCGAGAGGAAAGAUGUUUUUGAACAAUAUCACCAAAAUAAAAAAAAUUAAGGGAAAAUCCUUGUUAUAAUAUUACCAUAACAAAAUUAAUCACUUACUAUAUUUAUAUAAGAUAUUUAAUAAAUACAAAUAUUAACCAUGAUCCACUUUCGUUUUCUUUUUUCUAUUUUUAAUUUAUUAUUAACAAUAAAGAUGGGUUACAUUGGUCAUUUAUGCCUUAUAUUUGUGUAAAAUAUUAGGCGAAUUAGGAUAUUCUAAAAAAAUUUAAGAAAUUUGGAUUAAUCUUGUAAUAUAGUAUACCAUUUUACGCUAUCUUAGGUCAAGACCCUAAAAAUAAACUUAAAAACCUAAUAAGGAAAUAAUUCAAUUUGAUGACGUGGCAGUGCAUGGUCCAAUAACAUUAGGACAUGUCAGCAUUUAAAUAAUAAAAGAGAAAACGAAUUUAAUAGUACUAAAUGGAUACAACGGUCAAAAGCUUUUAAAAGGUAAUAAUAUUCUAUUCCAACUAAUUUACGUCAACAUAUUCCUUUAUUAUUAUUAUUUAUUUUUGAGAUAAUACAUUUUGUUUUAAAUUACCAAAACCAUAAAAAAAUAGUAAGUAAAUUGCAUUAGAUGACAAUAAAAUUUAGAAAAAAGUAGCUCAUAACACUAUAACGAAAAUAAAACGAUAAUAUAUUUUGAAAAUGCAAGUAACAUGGACUCUAUUAUCAUAAAUUUUCUUUUGUUAUUUUUACAAAUUUCCUAAGAUAAUAUUUACAACUAAUUUUAAUUCCACUCAAUUUCCUAUAUCAUAAAAGUGAGUUAUUGUAAUAGUUUGAUCUUUAAUAUAAACGUGGAGGGAAUUUGAUUUGUUCUUCCUCGAAGAAAAAGAAUGUUAUAGCAGUUCGACUCUAGCUGUCGAAAGCUAGAGUCGAACUUUGAGUGACAUAUCUAACAGAAAGUAUGUGUGAGUUUAUAUCGAACAAAUAUCCAUUUUUCUCGUAAUUAUUUUUACAGUUAAUUUUUGUUAUUAUAUAUUUUAUUUGCAUGAAACCAAUUAUUGCAAUUUUCAUUAGUUCUAUAAUUUUGUUAUGUUGGUCAAAAGUGUUGGUUUUUAUUUUUUAAAUGGUCUUGAAAUGAAUUUAUUUGUAUCUAAUUAAUUCCUCUUUAAAUCAUUUGAUAGCGAAAACAUUUAUUAAUUUUUUUUAAAAAUUAGUUUUAAUUAGUUUGAAUAAUCCCUUUUGUGUAUUAAAAAAUAUCAUUAAUAUUAGUGAUAAGGUAAAAUAUCCUAAAUUAUUGAGACUAGUAUAUUAUAUUGCUGAUAUCCAAUAGAAGUUUUUAUGAAAUCAUAACUUAUAUAUAGGUGAUAUCAAUGACGAUCAUAUGAAUGAUAUCAGUGAUAGAACCUAGUUAGAUAUCAAUAGUUAUAUUAUUGUAUGACUAUCAAUUAUUAAAUUUGAUAGUAUGAGUUCCAUCUCAAAACCAAUUGACAAUGAGAGGAUUAAUCCAUCUAUCUUAUAUGGAGUAUGAGUAAAUUCCCUUGGUUUUUUCAAUGUGGAACUCUCAAUACUUCUCCAAUAUGUCCCCUCAAGAUGAUGUCUCUUUGGAUUUACCUAUUUUGGAUCGAAUACUCGUUUGAGUUUAAUGAGAUUUAAUACUAUAUUAAAUUUGAUAGUAUAGAGUUCCAUCUCAAAAUCAAAUUUAACAUCAAUGAUAUGAAAAUGAAGGCUAUAUUUUUAUAUAUUGCAUUACUAGCUUAUUUAAUGGGAGGGUAGUUUAGUAAAUUUGAGGCUUCUUUAAGAAAAAUUCUAAAUAAGGUUAUGUUUGCAUUUAAUUUUAGGUUUGGUUAUAUUUACAAUAACUUUUAUCUUCUCUCCCAAUUUUUUAUAUUUAUAUUUAUUAUUAUUAUUAUUAUUUAGCUUUAAAAACUUAUGGUCAAAAGAAACUUAUUCUCAUGAACCAAGCCAUCAACUUUUACUUUUUUUUUUUUUCUUUUAAAAGAAUUUCUUCUAUAACUAUACUUAUUGUCUUCUUGGAAAGAUAGAUAUAUUUCCAUCUUUUCAAUAAUAGAAUCAAUUUUUAUUUUAUCAACUCUUACAUUGUAAUGUAGUAGGGAAAAUUAAAAUGUAUGAUCUCAAAUUUAAUUUAAGUAAUUAGAGAUAUGUUUCUUGAUCAACGUGCAGUAAAUUUAUCUCUCUUUUUUUUUAAAAAAAAUAAUUUUGAUACAACAUAUGCAUGGAUGUUUGAGAAUUAAACAAGUUUCAAAUUCGGAGGUUGACAAAACAUUUUGACACACAAAUAUACUGAAGUGACAUAGAUACCGAUGGAUCUUAUCUCUUACAAAUUUUUAGUUUGACUAUCAUCCAUCCAUCCACAAUUUGAUAGACUUAUUUAAUAUAUAUGUGUCAAACAACCACGAUUCCUGAAAUAAAACCCCAAAGUUAAUUAAUUUUUACAUAAAACUAAGGUCAUCAAAAUGAGUUCUUUGCCAAGUAUUUGUUCCAAAAGGUGGAUUAAAUUCCCUAAUGUUUUGAUUCCUUGUUUGCAAGCCAUUGCAGAGCAUGGAAUAGAAGAGUUCAAGAAAAAACAUGAAGUGAGCCUGAUAUACAAGAACGUUGUUGAAGGUUGGUAUAAGGAGUUGGAUGAUCAUGGAAAUACUAUAAGGUACCGUCUUCAUAUUCAAGCAUACGAUUGUAUUAGACGUCUACUCAAAUUUGAAGCUGUUUUGCUCCAACAACAUGCUCAGAAUAAUGAAAAAUCUACCAUCACUCUUGAGUCUUUUGAACAGAUAAUUUCUUACCUCUAAAAUAAAGUAAACUAUAAUAUAUAUAUAUAUCAAACUUUCCUUUCCCUUUUUGUCUUGUGUUCUUCCUUCUAGCUCUCUACACACUUUGUCACUUAUUUGUAUGCUUUGUACUGUCUUUUGCUAUCUAUAUAUUGUCCUAUCUGAAUAACCAUAUGUAGUAAUGAGUCGUACGAGUUUUUUGUAUUAGGUUUGAAGCUUUUCGGGCAAGUUUUGUUUCUCUCUUUCUGUAAUCGCUCUAGCAAUUGUAUUGCGGAUCAAGGCGUUUGUUUUGAGUGAGAUUAUUAAUAGUUUUAUGAAGUGUUUCUAUUGAAAAAAAUAAAUAAAGCUAUAUACCAAACUUUCCCUUUUGUGUUGUGGUCUAUCUGAUGAUCUACAAUACAUAUUCUUUACCGCUUAUAGUGUUGUGUUUUGUAUUUCGCUAUCUAUAUAUCAUAAUUAACUAACCAUGUAGUAUUAGUUUCUAAGGUUUGUUAAAAGCUUCACAAAUAUAGUCUCUCCUCUAGCUAGCUAUGGUUGGGAUAUUAUUUAAAAGGAUUUUAACAAGAAACUAUUGGGAUCACUACUGUCUAUAGUUAAACAAAUAUGGAUUGGAUAUCAUUCUCAGAAUCAACAACACAUAAAGUUGAGGGAAAAAUAUUGGAUAUAUCAUUAGCAAUAUCUGAGGUGCAAGCAGUAAAAGAGUCUUACUAUACUUGAUUUUCAAACUAGCUAGUGCACCAUCAACUGAUAUAAACAGGAUGACAAUGUUUCCAACUUGAAACACAUGCAAAUAUUGACAUUAAAAAAGAAACAUCUAUGAUCAUCAAGUUUAUAUAUAGUCAAUAUAUAUAUAAUAUAGAACUUGCGAAACGUAGACCUGAAUCAGAGCAAAUUAUAUAUGCUAUAUAAACUACGUACGGAAUAUGUAUAUACCUGCUGGAUUUUGCACAACCAACUGAAAAGCAAAUGUUGGAAUCAUCUUGAAAAGUUCUUCAAGUGAUACUGGAAUUUCAUUCACAGCAGCUUUUCAAGCAAACAUCAAGCUCUUGUCUAUGUAUAAACGGGGAUCAAAAGCAAUCAAUUUUCGUUUGUGUUUGAGGUCCAUUAUGAAUGUUACAUUCAAUUUAUCAUGACCACACCAAUGUUGAUUAUAGAUUAAUAGUAAAUAUGGUCUAUAAUUAAGUCUAUUUUCUCUCCGAUCAUUAUAACAGUUUUCAUCUAACUUUUAUAAAUUAGUUCAAUUUUUUUCUUAAAGAAAGGUUUUGCAAACCAUUUUCGUUCUUAAAAACUUUGGUAGAGGAAGUAGAUAAUUAAAGCAGGUGUGUUAUGUAUAUUCACCAAAUAAAACCUUAGCCAUCAAAUUAUCAUUAUAUUAUUAUUAUUAUUAACAACCAUAUGGUUAAUUAUUAAUAUACAUUUUCAUGCCAAAAUUUGGUCAAAAGAGAAAUCACAUCAACUUUCAUGUGUCAUAUCAACCAUAAAUUUGUAAUAGGAAAGAGAGAACGUGUAAAACAAAGAUAAAAAAUGGCUACGAUGCUUAAGUAAAGAGAGUUAUAAGUAUAAAAAUAGUUAGAAGUUUGAGAUAAUUGCAAAUAUGACAAUUGGAUUCAAAAUAAUUAAGUAUAUAUCAACAUUUUUAAAAGUUGUAAAUAUAUAGUAAAAUUGGUCAAAGUCUUAUCGGAGUCUACGGCUAAUAGACCAUAUUGCAAAUAUUGGUCUAUCACUAAUAAACCAAAAGAGUCUAUCAACGAUAUUAAAAGUAUUUAUCACUGAUAAACUUUGUAAUAUUUACAAAUUUUUUAAGAUGUUCCUGUAUACUUAAAGGGAAAUUUUCGAAAAUGGCAAAUUUUACAAAAUAUUUACAACCUAUAGCAAAUUCUAGCACGAAUAGUCUAAGCUACAGUGAUAGAAGACUGUCAUUGACAGAAUACAAAAUUUUGCUACUAACUUGUAAAUAUUUUAAUUUAUGUUUCUAUUUUUAAAAAUGGUCAUAUACUUAACUAUUAUAAUUACUCGAGAAGUUUUUAGUUCAAGUCAUAUCUAAAAUUAGGAAUAUAAUGAUGUAUUUAUAGAGAGAAUUAGAUGAAGAUUAUCCUUUUUUCUCGUCAUGCAAAGAUCAAUGAGAUAUUUUCUAAUCCUAAAUUAAUGAAGUAGAGAUGAUAAGGGUUGCUAAGAGGUCGGUAUCCACUUAGUAAAGAUGUGUUCGAGUGCAUCUAUCGUGACCCAUCGUAUCAUUUUUUAAAAAAGAAAAAAAAAAAAAGUUAUGACAAGAUCUUAUUAUUCCUUAUCCUUAAUUUCUUGAUUUUCUACCUAUUUUGUUACGUCUAAACCCACAACAAUAUAUAUAGAUAAUUGAAUAAACUUUAAAAAUCUUUUUAAAAAGUAUCAAUAUUCCUUUAUUUUUACUCUCGUAUUAUAGAAAAUAGAUAAUAAAUUAAAAGAAACUUGGAAGCAAAAGAUACCUUUACAUACUUAAUUGUCAAAAAAAAAAAAAAAAAAACCCAAAAAAUCAAAAUAUUAAAUAGUUAUCUAACCAGUCUUAAUUAUCCUUUCGUUUUAGAUGAAUUCUUGUAAAUAAAAAAAUUGUUGAAAAUAUUUACAAAAUAUAACAAAACCUCGUAUUUAUAACUGAUAGACUUUAAAUUAUCGGUGUUUAUUAGUAAUUAAAUCUGGAAUUUUGUAAAUAUUUUUGUUCGUUUAAUUUUUGUAUUAAAAUGAUGCCAUUUACCAAAUAAAAAUACAUAUAGAAAAAAGAGAACAUUUUAUUUUUUACAUUACCUACAAUUUAAAUUUUAAAUCAAAGUAAAAAAAGUAAUUAGUUUGAACAAUGAGCAGCUCUUCUUUUUAUUUAUUCGAAUAGCCAGAGGGUCGAUAGUUGUUGGUUCCCUUUUUUUUUUCUUUCUUUUUGCAAAUUAAAGUUGAUAUAGUAAUUGAUUUCUUUGUUGUGUUGAUAUGAAAAGGAUGUUGUUGGUUUCAUAUUUAUUAUUCUUUUUCAAUGGGGAUGGGUUCUCGAUGGGGGACCUAUCCCCUCGAUACCCCUUGCCCGACCCACCUUAGCCUCGUUGCCUAACCUUACCGUACACAAUAGUUAGUUGUUGAUAUAGGUUUCACCUUGCCUUAAGCUUAUCAACUCACUUUAGCCACGAAAUCGGUCGAAGAUAAUGAUUACAAUUGACAAACAUAUAUAAAAUAUUAAUAUACCCACAAGUAAGAAAGAUAGAGAGGAGGAGAAAAUCAGAUCGAGGGGUGAAAGUUCAGGAGAAACUAGACUUAAAAUCGAGAGAGUAACUUUUAUAAACCGAAGAUGCAUGGCAUGCACAUGACCACGGGUGUUGCAGUGCGCAACACAUGAUCUCUGACAAAAUGUUUGAAACAUCGUGGUGCUUCAAGGUAGUGUCAUAGCACGAAAUCGGUUCGAGAUAAUGAUUAUUACAAAAUGUAAAAUAUUUAUUUUUGUUUCUGAAAAUUAAGUUUAUAUAUAAUUCUUUCACUCCAAUUUUCUUUUUUUGCUAUAUAUAUAAUAAUUUAAAAAACCAAGUUAAAUUUUGAAAACUAAAACAAUAUAGAUUUUAAAAAGUAAGUUUUUUGGAAUUGGAAAAUUUGACUAAGAAUUCAACCAUUGUAUUUAAGAAAGAUGCAAAUCAUCGUAAGACAAUAAAAGAAAAAAUAAGCUUAAUUUUAGAAAACAAAAUGGUUAAUUGAGAAACGAGACCUAAAGGAAUGGAGAUUGAACCGCACUAACAAGCAUAAUCGAAUAACUUUGGAAAGCUAAUUUGGAAAAAGUAUCAAUGCUCUAUCAUGUAUAUUUACCACAUUAUACAAAACAUAGAUAACAAAAAUGAAAGAAACCCUACAACACAAACACAUGUUAUAUUAUAAAAAUCGAAAAGCAUUCAAAAGGUAUAUCGUCCUAAAAAGAAUCAAUAUCCUUUCCAAUAAUAUUAUUCUUUGACUUACACUAUUUCCCCCCAUGAAUACACUUGUAUAAAAGCUUCAACAACUCAUGCAAUGGCAACCCACCACAAAAUUUUCAUUACUAUCAAAUAUCAACUAAAGCUCUCACAAAAAAAUGACAAUUGGUAUUGGUGGAGGAAUUGGCCUUGGUCUUCCUGGUCUCAAUAUAAAGAUCGGCGGAGGCAUCGGUCUUGGGAAUAAAAGGCCGGGGGGGUGCAAGAGUCAUGAUCCAUCAAAAAAAUGGAGUGUAUGUCCCAAUGAUCGCGUUGUAGAAAUAUAUGCUAGGUUUGCAGUGGAUGAGUACAACAGAAAACAUGGACGUAAUCUUGUGUUUCAAUCAGUUUUGGAAGCUUGGGUUUAUGUUUAUCCUUGUGGCAAGAAAGAGUAUAGUAUUGAAUUAGUAGUAAGAGAAGGGUGUGGGAAUCAUGUCCUCAAGUAUCAUGCUGUUGUGACUGAAACAGGCUGUGCUGCUCGCAGGAAGACUCUGGUGUCUUUCGACCAAAUCGACGACUAAAAGAGAAGUUAUAUGCAUGCAAUCAAAGUUUAUACUUAUGUGUGAGAAGUACACAAUAAUAAAUCUUAUAUGAUAUUGUACUGUUCUACUCUCUUUCACUAUCUCUGUUCUAAAAUGAUAAUGGAGGCCAAACUACGUUUUUAGUCCCUAACCCUAUAUUUUGUGUUUUACUUUUCAUUUUGCUUCGUUGCACUCUUAAAGUUUAUGUUGUAGUUUUCUGUUUUAGUUUUGUUUAGUUUUGUACUUCGUUCUUGAUUGUGUUGAAGGUUUAGAAGAAAAUUAUAACUAAAAACAAUAAACUCACAAAAACAAUAACAAUAGUAUUUAAAUAAAUUCAAUUGGGUUUGAAAAUUAGGUAGGAAACUAAUUAUAAAAACUAAAAAUCAAUCGAUCCUUAUCAGACAACUAGACCUACUUUUAUAAUUUUGAGAGUUUGGCAUGGCUUCUAAAAAUAUUGGUCUACAAAAAUGUGUAUAUAUAUAAGAACCCAUUUGUUGUUAUUAUAUACAUACAUAUAAUAGUAUGUAUGUAUGUAAAUGAGCGGAUUUUUGUUUUUUAUUUUGGUAUCUUUCUAUGGAUAUAUAUAAUUAAUGGAAAUAUCGAUUCUGAUCUCGAUGUUCAACUUAUUGAAACUAGAAUACACAGACGUGAGUUGCACGUGUCAAAAUCUUUUUUUCUUUUAAAAUUAUCUAUAUUUUCUUUUCUUUUUGGAAUUUUAUAUAUUAUAUAUUGAUAAUAAUACACACUAAUCAUCGGGAUAGAUGAUAAACCUUCUAAGGAGGGAGGGAAUGAUUGUGAAAUGAUCUCACUUGGUCUUACUAAAUGAGUAACUUCGUUAUGUAUACUCAUCUAUUGCUUUAAAUAUUAGAGAUAGUUGCAAAUUUAACAAUUAGAUUCAAAAUAAUUAAGUAUAUAACAACAUUUUAUCUCAUCAUUAUUUAAUGAAGCGGGAGUGAUGAGGGUGCUAAGGAGAUGUCCACCUAGUGGAGAUGUCCUGGUGCACCUGCUGACCCACAUUAUCUUUCUCUAAAAAAAAUAACAUUUUAAAAAAUUUACAAAUAUAACAAAAUUUGUCAAAUUCUAUCAAUAAUAGAAGUCUAUGACUAAUACACUAUGUUGCAAAUAUUGAUCUAUUACCGAUAGACUAUACAAAUCUAUUGACGAUAAUUUUGCUAUAUUUUCAAUUUUUUUAAAAUGUUGCUAUAUUUCGAAAAGGACCAUCAGAUACAAUUACCCUAAAUAUUAAUGUUUUUUGUUAGCACUGCUCUUGGGCUUAUGGGCUUAUCUCUAGCCCUUUUGUACCGAUCAUGAACUUUGUAUUUUGUGCGCUUUAUUGAAUAUAUAUACAUAUAUGGAAAUGAUAAAGGGUGUCCACCUAGUGGGAUGCUUCAGUGCAUCCACUGACUCUGCAAGUAUCCAUUUUUCUAAAAAAACAUUUCCAUUUUUCUAAAAAAACAUUUGAAUUUAACAAAUGCUUUCUUGUUUUCAUUGAGAUUACUUUAUAAAGUGCAACUGCAACCUAGUAGGAAAGAUAAACUUCAACAUGUAUUGUUUGUCCUUGACCCUUUGUUAACGGUCGUUGUAAAAUUGAGCAACACUAAAAUCUACAAAGAGCAUCAAAAUAAAUAAAACUUUAUAAGUUUUUUGAAACUAAAGUUUUGAUUUUGUAUAUAUGUAUUGAUUAUAAAUAGAGUAAAAGAGUGAGGAAAAAAUUGUAUUGUAUCGUGGUAAGAUUUUAAGUAACUUAAUUUAUUAAAUUAUAAACAAUAAAUAAAUAAAUAUGAAAGGUAUGGUUGCCGUUUUAAUUACAAUGAUGUUCAACACCUUUAUUUUUUGUUUAAUAUCUUUCAACUUCCUACUUUGAAAAUGUUCCAAACCCUCUAUUACAUAACGUUUACCAUCAAACCCGAAAAUUUUACCACAAUGUAUUAGUAACUAUAUAAUAGUUUAAAUAAAAUUAAAUAAACUAUGGUAAACCUAAACUUUGUUUAAGACAUGCUUUUUUAUUUUAAAAAGUCAAUUUAUUGACAUAAUACAAAUGCAUGUUCACCAUCAAAUCUACAAACUACCACAACGUAUAAGUAACAAAAUAAUUUAAAUAAAAAAUUAAUAAACUAUGAUAAAUCUAAAAUUCAUCUAACACAUGGUUUUUUUACUAGAAAAAAUUCAAGGAUUUCAUAUACUACAAACCAAUCAACUUAGCAAGAAAUGGAAAAUUUAUUUGCUUAAUUACCAAAUGUAUAUCACUAUUUAACAAAAUUUAAAUAUUUGUAAUUGUUAUCUUAAAUUUCUUUGGAAGAAAUAGACUUCCAAACUCAUUCAUUCUCGAACCACAUAAUCAUAAAUGUCUAAAUCUUAGACCUUUAGGUGAAGAGUUACAAAUGGCCACAUAUCCAUGGCUUACCAUGGUGAGUAAAAAAAAAGUUGUUUAUUUGCGCUAAAAGGAAAAACAGAUCUAGUGAGUAAAAGAAAGAAAAACAUUCAAAUGUUUGUAAGAAAAUAAAACGGUAGAAGAUAGGUCUUUAUAUAUAUAUAUAUAUAUAUAUAGUUACGUUGAAGAAAAUAAAAGGUUACGAAAUCUUUUUCGAACUCAUCAUUAAAUACUAGAUAUUAGAGAAAUUAAAUUAGUGAAAUUAAUAAUUAGAUAAAAUCUUUUUUUUUUUUACUUCUUAAACAAUGUGUUAGACAUUAAGGUGAGAAUUUGAAAAGAUAAUCAAUAGUUUUCGUCUAGAACAUAAAGGUUCGGUUCUUAUCUCUACAAUUGUACCAAAAAAAGAGCAAUACUUUGUUUUCAAGACGUUGUGUUUAGUAAUGAGAAGAGUCUCUCCGACAGCUAGCCCAGUAUUGAUCAGCUUACAAGUUUGGAGAAAUAAGAGUUGGUUUCCAUCAGCUUUGAGGGUUCUUCAUAUUCAACCAAAUGACCAAAGUCAUUGUCAAAGACGGUAGAACUCUGUGAGCUACUGUUACAAUAGUGCAUUCUGAAAACUCCUUCCCUUAUAAUUCUUUGUAAAAUGGUGUCAGUUGCCGAGUCGAUUGAAGUGGUAGCCUCAUCGAGAACGAGAAUUUUAUGUCGUAUGAGUAGCACUCGACCGAGACGGAAGAGUUGGCGUUUUCCCACACUCCAGUUUCCACAGAUGAGUCGAGCUGAUUUGGUAGACUGCUGACAGUGGCCUUCAGCUGACACCUCUCUAAUGCCUUCCAUAUCUCAUCAUCAUCAGAGUAAAGGCCAAGGGGAAGAGUGGAGGGGAGGAGAAAAUCAGUUCGAGGGGUGAAAGUUCAAGAGAAACUAGACUUAAAAUCGAAAGAGUAACUUAAUAACCAAGAAUUCGACAAUUGUAUUUAAGAAAGAUGCAAAGAAAAAAUAAGCUUAAUUUUAAAAAACAAAAACAAAAAACGAAAUGGUUCAUUACCAAACGAGACCUAAAAAAUGGAGAUUGAACCGCGCUAAAAAGCAUAAUGGAAUAACUUUGAAAAGCUAAUUUCCAAAAAGUAUCAAUAUUCUAUUAUGAAUAUUUCCCACGUUAUACAGAACAUAGAUAACAAAAAUCAAAGAAACGCUACAACAUAAACACAUGUUAUAUUAUAAAAAUCGAAUAACAUUCAAAGGUAUAUCGUCCUAAAAAGAAUCAAUAUCCUUUCCAAUAAUAUUAUUCUUUGACUUACACUAUUUCCCCCAUGAAUACACUUGUAUAAAAGCUUCAACAACUCAUGCAAUGGCAACCCACCACAAAAUUUUCAUUACUAUCAAAUAUCAACUAAAGAUCACAAAAAAAUGGCAGGUAUUCUUGCUGGUCUUGAUGGAGGACUUGGUUUUGGUUUUAGUCCUUUCAGUUUAAAGAUCGGCGGAGGUAUCGAUCUCGGGAGUAAAAGGCCGGGGGGGUGCAAGAGUCAUGAUCCAUCAAAAAAAUGGGUUAUAUGUCCCAAUGAUCAAGUUGUAGAAGCUGCUAAGUUUGCAGUGGCUGAGUUCAACAAAAAAUAUGGAAAUAAUCUUGUGUUUCAAGUAGUUUUGGAAGCUUGGGUUUUUACUAAUCCUUGUGGGAAGAAAGAGUAUAGUAUUGAAUUAGUAGUAAUAGACGGCUGCUUGAAUCGUGUUCUCAAGUUUCAUGCAGUCGUGACUGAAACACCCUGUGCUGCUCGCAAGAGGACUCUGGUGUCUUUCGACCAAAUCGUCGACUAAAAGAGAAGUUAUAUGUGCAAUCAAAGUUUAUACUGUGUGAGAAGUACACAAUAAUAAAUCUUGUAGGAUAUUGUACUGCUCUACUUUCUUUCACUAUCUGUUCUAAAAUAAUAAUAAUGGAGGCCAAACUACGUUUUUAGUCCCGAAACCCUAUAAUUUUUGCGUUUUACUUUUCAUUUUGCUUCUUUACAUGCACUCUUAAGUUUCUCAAUUAAAUUUGCACCUGUUUUGUAUUUGGUUCUUUAUUGUGUUCAACCGUUUAAAAUGUCGACCUCGAUCGAUAUUUCUACCAAGAAAACUAUAACUAUAAACAAUAAACUCAUAAAAAAAUUAGUACUUAAAUAAAUUCAAUUGAGAGUCUGAAAAUUAGGUAGGAAAUUUUAAAACUAAAAAUCAAUUGAUUGUUAUCAGACAACUCGACCUACUUUUAUAAUUUUGAGAGUUUGGCAUAGCUUCUAAAAACAUUGGUUUACAAAAAAUAUAGAUAUAAUAACAAAGCAAAUAGAUCUAAGGAUGGAACGAGUUUUUAUUUUCAAAAAUCAACUGGUCAUCAAAUCGAGCUAGCUAUAAGCAUCAACUUUUUCUAUAGUUAUACGAACCCAUUUGUUUGUUGUUAUUAUAUAUAUAUGAGUAGGGAUUUUUUAUUUUUUAUUUUGGUAUAUUUCUAUGAUAUAUAUAAUUAAUGAAAAUGUUGAUUAUUUCUUAUCUCGGUGUCAAAACUUAUUAUAAAAACUAGAACACGUAAACGUAUGUUGCACGUAUCAAGAUCUUUCUUUCUUUUAAAAUUAUCUAUAUUUUCUUUCUUUUGGAAUUAUACAAAUAUACAAAUAUAUAUAUAUAUAUAUAUAUAUAUAUAUAUAUAUAUAUAUAUAUAUAUAUAAAGGAAAUAAUAUUGAAUUGAGAAAGAACAACUUUAAAGAAACAUAAUAUGAUAAUUAAAGAAAAUAUUAGUUUAUUAAACUUGUAUGUUUUUAAUACACUAUAGAGGAUAAACUUUCGAUCUCAAAGGACGGAGUGAACGUUUGGGAUGAUCUCAUUUAAUCUUAUUAAAUGAGUAACCUUAUUAUGUACCGUUUUUUCUUUUUUUUAUGUGUUAAAUUUUCAACAUUUGAAUUUAACAAAUGUUCUAUCAUUUUCAUUAAGAUCAUUCAAAGUAGCCUUUGUUAAUGGUCGUUGUAAAAUUGAGCGACACUAAAAGCUACAAAAAGAAAAUUAAAUAAUAAAUCACACAAAUUCAAAUUUAAGUCUAAUUUACAAUGUUGUAAAAUCAACAGUGAGCAUCAAAAUGGACAAAACUCUACAAGUUUUUUGAAAUUAAAGUUUUGAUUUUGUAUAUAUGUAUUGAUUAUUAAUAGAGAAAAAAAAGCGAGGAAAAGACUAUAUUAAGUAACUUAUUUUAUUAAAUUAUAAACAAUAAAUAAAUAUGAAAUGUAUGGUUGCCGUUUUAAUAACAAUGACUUUCAACACCUUUAUUUUUUGUUUUAUAUCUUUGAACUUUCUUUGAAAUUCUAAGUACUAUGACAGGUUCCAAAUCCUUUAUUAGAAUGUUCACCACGUCAAACCUGAAAAUUUACUCCAACGUAUUAGUAACCAUAUAAUAGUUUAAAUAAAAUUAAAUAAAGUAGAGUAAAUCUAAACUUUGUUUAAAACAUGAUUUUUUUAAUUAAAAAAAAUUCAAUUAUUAACCUAUACAAAUGCAUGUUAUUCACCAUCAAAUCUACAAAUUUACCAUAAUAAUUUAAAUAAAAAAUAAAUAAACUAGUAUAAAUCUAAAAUUCAUCUAACACAUGGUGUUUUUAUUAGAUAAAAUUAAAGGACUGACAUAUAUAUCACAAACGAAUCAACUAAUUAACUUAUAAGAUGCAUAUCACUGUUUAUAGAAAAUGCAAAUGCUACCAUUAGAUAUGUUACUUUUUUUUUGUUGUUGUUGCUAUAUGGGUAAUGAAAUUUGAAAAUAUUUGUAACUAUGAUAUAUCUUAAAUUUUUUGAAAACAAAAGUCUAAUUUCAAAUUCAUUCAAUCUUAAAUUUUGAAUUAACCAUAAACCUAUAAUCAUAAACGUCCACAACCCACGUCAUUAUCGUAAAUGUUGACGUUUUAAGUAAAUUAAACAAUACUAAUGGGUGAUGAGUUACAAAUCCCCACAUAUAUCCAAUGGCUUACCAUGGCGAGUAAAAACAAUUGAUAGUAAACAAUGGCUUCUUUGACAACACAGAAAAAACACACAUCUAGUGAGUAAAGAAAAGAAAAGAAACCUAAUAAUUAGAGAGAAAUUCAAAUAUUUGUAAGAAAAUAAAAUGGUAGAAGAUAGGUCUUUAUACAUAGUUACGUUGAAGAAAAUAAAAGGGUUACAAAGUUCUUUUAUGAUCUCUAUCAAUAAAUAUAGAUUCAUAAAUAUUAAAAAUUAAAUUAUUGAAAUAAUUAGAUAAAACUUUUCUAUUUUGACAAAUUUUUCUCUUAAAUAAUGUGUUAGGCAUGAAGGGAAUUAAGAAUUUGAAAAGAUAAUCAAUACCUUUCGUCAUAGGUAAACAAACUAUACAACUAACAUAGGCAUUAUCUUUCUUUUUACAAGUCCCUACAAUUGUACCAAAAAAGUGAAAUACUUUGUUUCCAAGACAUUGUGUUUAGUGAUGAGAAGAGUCUCUCUUUGAUAGUUAGCACAGUAUUGAUCAGCUACAAGUUUGGAGAAAUAAGAGUUGGUUUCCAUCAGCUUUGAGGGUUCUUCAUAUUCAACCAAAUGACUAAAGUCAUUGUCAAAGACGGUAGAAUUCUGUGAGCUACUGUUACAACAGUGCAUUCUGAAAACUCCUUCCCUUAUAAUUCUUUGUAAAAUGGUGUCAGUUGCCGAGUCGAUUGAAGCGGUAGCCUAAUUGAGAACGAGAAUUUUGUUUGGUUUGAGUAGCACUUGACCAAGACAGAAGAGUUGGCGAUGUCCCACAUUCCAGUUUCCACCUUCAUCAGUUCACAGAUGAGUCGAGCUGAUUCGGUAGACUGCUGACAGUGGCCUUCAGCUGACACCUCUCUUCUAAUGCCUUCCAUAUCUCAUCAUCAUCAGAGUAAAGGCCAAGCGUGUCUAAAUUUUUGUGAAUGCUGCCCCUAAAAAGUUUUGUCUGAUCUUGUGGGAUAAUGCUAAGCUUCAUUCUUAGAUCCUUUAAACCAAUGGAACAUAUAUAUCGAUCCCGUCAAUGAUGAUUCUCCCGCUCUCUGGCUCCACCAAACGAAACAAAGCACUUAUAAGCGUCGUUUUUUCACUUCAUGUUCUUCCUACAACCCUUACUCUAGUCCCUUCUUAGAAGGUACACGUAAUUCCCUUGAGAACGAGAGGAGCAUUGGGAUGAUAUUUUAUCUUUAGACACAUUCCAACACUAUCCUUCCUGUUGUAGGCCAUGAAAGUGGUGGUAUAUGCUGUUCUCCAUGAUUGCUGGGAGGCUCUGCUGGCAAAUGCAUAUAUAUUUCUUGAUCCUUUUCUACAGAAACGAUGUAGUUUGAAAGAGUACAAUAAUAUGUCGCCAUGAAAACAUGGAUACUAUAUUUGAAAAGGAUAAAGCAUAAGAAAGAGAUCAGACUCCCUCAAGUCCUGGAUUGGUGGUUUGACCCUGAGGAAGCAGUACACAAGGAGAAAUGCAACAGUGAAAAAGGUGAAAUGUUGCAAUGUUUCUAUCCUCAAAAUAAACCACCCUCUGUCAUUGCAUAGUUGAAAAAACAGACUCGCAUCAUAUCAGUGUCGAUGAGCUUUAGAAACUUGUUGAAGAAUUAUCGUUUCUGCUGCAUAUAAUUCAUUACAGGUGCUUUUGUUGUCCCAUUAAUUCUAAUAAGCUCCCUACCAGUUGCUAGAUAAUAUAAAAAUAGCUGGAAUGGCAACAACAAGCAAGAACUUCCCACGUAACAGAAGCCACAGUUGCAAUCACUACAAGAAGAUGUAGAUCAGCACCAUAUCAUAUUACGAAGAUGGCGGCAAAUGGUAUGUCAAAAUCCACAAUAUAAUAUUAUAGAAGAUGCCUUACAAAUUGUGAAAAGCUAAUCAAUAUUCACUUUAUUCUUUAUAUGAAAUAAUAAUAUAAGUAACAAAUUUCUUUUACAAAAGCUAUAUAUUGAAAGUAUUUUGGCUUUUUUUCAGUUUAAACAAUAACUAAUGAUUAUCUUAAAAUAUUAGAUCAUACGAUCAUACGAUCAUAUGUUGUAAAUUUAAAAUUUAACAAGAGAUAGAAAUCUGUCGAUAUCUAUCCGUGUUUUUCAUUGAUAAAAUCUACGAAGUAAAAUCAAGAAAAGAAAAUUUUCACAAGGCCUAUAGCGUAACAAAGAGUAUCAAUAACCAUAGGAAGGAGGAGAGGAAAAUGUUUUAAAAUUGAAAAGAACAUAAAACUCAAUUGGAUAUUAAACAUUCGAUCAACAAAAACUAUAAAUUAAACACCAAAAGAAAAAAAAAAGAAAAACAAAUCAAAAUCAAUGACUCUCUUAUCUAUAUAUUUUUUAUGAUCAAAUAACUUUCAAAACCUUCUCAAAAGGUUCUAUAUAUUUUUCUUGGUAUUUUGGCUAAGAUCAAGUGUUCUAUUAUUAUUAUUAUAUAUAUAUAUAUGCUUCAUUUUUCAAUGGGUUAUCUUAAGUAAGGCCUCCCAGCAUAUUCUUUCCAAAAUUAUUCUUUGACUUGCACUAUUUCUCCCAUGAAUACACUUGUAUAUAAAGCUUCAACAACUCAUGCAAUGGCAACCCACCAAACAAAAUUUUCAAUACUAUCAAAUAUCAACUAAAUUAGCUCACAUAAAAAUGACGAUUGGUAUUGGUGGAGGAAUUGGUAUUGGCAUUGGCGUUCCUGGUAUCAAAGUAUCGAUCGGUGGAGGCAUCGGUAUCGGAAGUAGAAAGGGGGGGUGCAAGAGUCAUGAUCCUUCAAAAAAAUGGAGUCAAGUUCCCAAUGCGCAAGCAGAUCAAGUUAUUAUAAAUGUUGCUAACUUUGCAGUGGCAGCGUUCAACCAAAAAUAUGGAAAUAAGCUUGUGUUUCAUGCAGUUUUGGAAGCUUGGGUUGUUGUUCUUCCUGAUGGCAAAAAAGAGUAUAGUAUUGAAUUAGUAGCAAAAGACUGUUUGAAUCGUUGCCUCUACUUUCAUGCUAUUGUGAUUGAAAUAGUUGGCGUUCCCCCUGGCUGGAAUCUUUUUUCUUUCACCCAAAUCAGCGACUAAAUUAAAAGAAAAGUUAUAUGUAUAAUCGAAGUUCAUACUUAUGUGUGAGAAGUACACAAUAAUAAAUCUUAUAUGAUAUUGUACUGCUCUACUUUCUUUAACUAUCUGUUAUAGAAUAAUAAUGGAGGCCAAACGAUGUUUUUAGUCCCAAACCCUUUAUUUUGUGUUUUAGUUUUCAUUUUGGUUUGUUGCAUGGGACUCUCUUAAGUUUUUGAGUUAAUGUUUUGCAGCUUUGUGUUUGAGUUUUGAGUUUAAUUUUGUAUUUGGUUCUUGAUCGUGUU